rnacentral:rRNA from 1 species
GACGUAGGGCGCGAGCGUUGUCCGGAUUUAUUGGGCGUAAAGAGCGUGUAGGCGGCCAGGGAGGUCCGUUGUGAAAACUCGAGGCUCAACCUCGAGACGCCGAUGGAAACCCCCUGGCUAGAGUCCGGAAGAGGAGAAUGGAAUUCCUGGUGUAGCGGUGAAAUGCGCAGAUAUCAGGAGGAACACCGGUGGCGAAGGCGGGUCUCUGGGCCGAUACUGACGCUGAGGCGCGACAGCGUGGGGGAGCAAACAGG